UACGAGGGGGGCGAGCGUUGUUCGGAAUUAUUGGGCGUAAAGGGCGCGUAGGCGGCUUGGCAAGUCAAAGGUGAAAUCCCUCGGCUCAACUGAGGAACUGCCUUUGAAACUGCCUGGCUUGAGGCCGGGAGGGGGUAGCGGAAUUCCCAGUGUAGCGGUGAAAUGCGUAGAUAUUGGGAGGAACACCAGUGGCGAAGGCGGCUACCUGGACCGGUUCUGACGCUGAGGCGCGAAAGCUAGGGGAGCAAACGGG
rnacentral:rRNA from 1 species